ACCAGCAACAGAGCCCUUAUAGAUUCCGAGGGACCAACCUGCAAUUUAGAUAAUAUUUCGAGACCAUGUUCAUCUCAACCAUCUAAAUAAACAUAACUAAAUCGAAUGGAGAAUGCUGGCAGUUCACACUAAACCAUUCAUAUUUCCGAUUCACACAGUCUCAACCCAAAGAUCGUUGCUUACAAUCCACAGGGAUGUAUUUAUUGAAACCAUUGCAGUCAUACCAAUUUACUACAUAAGGUAGAACACAGAAUUUCGUAAGCAUGCAUCAUAGGUGAAACCAUUAGUCAUCCAAAUUUACUACAUAAGGUAGAACACAGAAUUGUGGCAUAUCUCAGCUGAACUUAGCUAGUAAUAAAUUACCUAGCUGGACAAGUACUGUGUCAUCCACGAUUGGAAGCGAGACCACGCCAGCUGAACUGAAG
rnacentral:lncRNA from 1 species